rnacentral:lncRNA from 1 species
AUUUAAAAGAGCUGCUCAGAUGUUAGUGCAAUUGUAGUCUGCUAUUAUGUUUAAGACCUUAAGCAAGCAUCUUAAAAAAAGUCUGAAUCUGACAGAUACAACCUAUUAUUUUAUGGAUUUGUUUUUGUUCAAUUCAUUCAGCUCUAAAUUCUGCUCGAUUUACUUGGCAGCUAGUUUUGUUAUUAUUUUAGUCUCAGAAUCAUGUUUUCGUUAAUAAAAUGGAUUGCUUUUUGUUCAUAUUAGCUAGUAGGGUUCCUUCUUUUAAAGAAGUGUAUUAUUGGAUACCUCCAAAGUAGUUUUCCGUGUUCUGUCAAUCUUAUUUGUCUUUAAGUAUAUAUAAAACUUUGUGUAUAAGUACAUAAUGUUAAAAAUUGUGAUCCUUACUUUAGAAAUACAUAAUUCAUAGAUCUAUACUAAAUAGAGGUGUAUGGAGUUUUUUUCUUUAGUUUAAGGAACAUAUGAAUAUAUGAAGAAAUUGAUGAAGAUGAUGAAUGAUGUUCAUCAAAAUCUGAAUUUGUUUAAUCUUAAUAA